GAUGAACGCUGACAGAAUGCUUAACACAUGCAAGUCUACUUGAUUCUACUUCGGUAGUUGAUGGUGGCGGACGGGUGAGUAACGCGUAAAGAAUCUGCCCUUUAGUUUGGGAUAACCUUUGGAAACGAAGGCUAAUACCGGAUAUUAUGGAGACGUCGCAUGGCGACUCCAUGAAAGCUAUAUGCGCUAGAGGAGGACUUUGCGUCCCAUUAGUUAGUUGGUGAGGUAAUGGCUCACCAAGACCGCGAUGGGUAGCCGGCCUGAGAGGGUGAUCGGCCACAAGGGAACUGAGACACGGUCCUUACUCCUACGGGAGGCAGCAGUGGGGAAUAUUGGACAAUGGGCCACAAGCCUGAUCCAGCAAUUCUGUGUGCACGAUGAAGGUCUUCGGAUUGUAAACUGCUUUUAUGUGCGAAGAAUUUGACUGUAACACAUGAAUAAGGAUCGGCUAACUAUGUGCCAGCCGCCGCAGUAA
rnacentral:rRNA from 1 species